AUGGAACAAUGUAGGCAAGGGAAGUCGGCAAAACGGAUCCGUAACUUCGGGAAAAGGAUUGGCUCUGAGGACUGGGCUCGGGGGUCCCGGCCCCGAACCCGUCGGCUGUCGGCGGAUUGCUCGAGCUGCUCACGCGGCAAGAGCGGGUCGCCGCGUGCCGGCCGGGGGACGGACCGGGAAUCGCCCCUUCGGGGGCUUUCCCCGAGCAUGAAACAGUCGACUCAGAACUGGUACAGACAAGGGGAAUCCGACUGUUUAAUUAAAACAAAGCAUUGCGAUGGUCCUCGCGGAUGCUGA
rnacentral:rRNA from 1 species